rnacentral:rRNA from 1 species
UACGGGGGGAGCAAGCGUUGUUCGGAUUUACUGGGCGUAAAGGGCGCGUAGGCGGCGUGACUAGUCACUUGUGAAAUCUCCGGGCUUAACUCGGAAAGGUCAAGUGAUACUGCCGUGCUAGAGUACAGAAGGGGCAACUGGAAUUCUCGGUGUAGCGGUGAAAUGCGUAGAUAUCGAGAGGAACACCUGCGGCGAAGGCGGGUUGCUGGGCUGAUACUGACGCUGAUGCGCGAAAGCCAGGGGAGCGAACGGG